rnacentral:rRNA from 1 species
ACGAACGCUGGCGGCGUGCUUCACACAUGCAAGUCGCACGGAAAGGCCCUGCUUUUGUGGGGUGCUCGAGUGGCGAACGGGUGAGUAACACGUGAGUAACCUGCCCUUGACUUUGGGAUAACUUCAGGAAACUGGGGCUAAUACCGGAUAGGAGCUCCUGCUGCAUGGUGGGGGUUGGAAAGUUUCGGCGGUUGGGGAUAGACUCGCGGCUUAUCAGCUUGUUGGUGGGGUAGUGGCUUACCAAGGCUUUGACGGGUAGCCGGCCUGAGAGGGUGACCGGCCACAUUGGGACUGAGAUACGGCCCAGACUCCUACGGGAGGCAGCAGUGGGGAAUAUUGCACAAUGGGCGGAAGCCUGAUGCAGCAACGCCGCGUGCGGGAUGACGGCCUUCGGGUUGUAAACCGCUUUCGCCUGUGACGAAGCGUGAGUGACGGUAAUGGGUAAAGAGGCACCGGCUAACUACGUG